rnacentral:rRNA from 1 species
AAAUUGAAGAGUUUGAUCAUGGCUCAGAUUGAACGCUGGCGGCAGGCCUAACACAUGCAAGUCGAGCGGAAACGAGUUAUCWGAACCUUCGGGGGACGAUARCGGCGUCGAGCGGCGGACGGGUGAGUAAUGCCUAGGAAAUUGCCCUGAUGUGGGGGAUAACCAUUGGAAACGAUGGCUAAUACCGCAUGAUGCCUACGGGCCAAAGAGGGGGACCUUCGGGCCUCUCGCGUCAGGAUAUGCC